AUCCAGUCGACGAGUCCCGAAUAGGAUGGAACUCGCGUCCUGGAU
rfam:Schistosoma margrebowiei strain Zambia genome assembly, scaffold: SMRZ_contig0001057